rnacentral:rRNA from 1 species
GCUUUAUGCACCAUUGGAUGAGCCCGCACUUGAUUAGUUUGUUGGUGGGGUAAUGGCCUACCAAGACUUUGAUCAAUAGCUGAUUUGAGAGGAUGAUCAGCCACAUUGGGACUGAGACACGGCCCAAACUCCUACGGGAGGCAGCAGUGGGGAAUCUUGCACAAUGGAGGAAACUCUGAUGCAGCGAUGCCGCGUGAGUGAAU